rnacentral:rRNA from 1 species
CCACCCUUGACAUGGCAGGAAUCCUUUAGAGAUAGAGGAGUGCUCGAAAGAGAACCUGCACACAGGUGCUGCAUGGCUGUCGUCAGCUCGUGUCGUGAGAUGUUGGGUUAAGUCCCGCAACGAGCGCAACCCUUGCCAUUAGUUGCUACGAAAGGGCACUCUAAUGGGACUGCCGGUGACAAACCGGAGGAAGGUGGGGAUGACGUCAAGUCCUCAUGGCCCUUAUAGGUGGGGCUACACACGUCAUACAAUGGCUGGUACAAAGGGUUGCCAACCCGCGAGGGGGAGCUAAUCCCAUAAAGCCAGUCGUAGUCCGGAUCGCAGUCUGCAACUCGACUGCGUGAAGUCGGAAUCGCUAGUAAUCGUGGAUCAGAAUGUCACGGUGAAUACGUUCCCGGGUCUUGUACACACCGCCCGUCACACCAUGGGAGCGGGUCUCGCCAGAAGUAGGUAGCCUAACCGCAAGGAGGGCGCUUACCACGGCGGGGUUCGUGACUGGGGUGAAGUCGUAACAAGGUAGGCGUAGUGCU